CUGAAGCCCCUUAAUGUAUUUUCUCACAUGAAUGAGUUUAAAACUGGCUGAAAACAACCAGUCCGAGGUAAACUAUAGCUGCGAGCCGCGACGGCGCCGUGCCAUAAUUCUAAAAUUAGCUAAAAAAAGAUUUUUAACACCGAUUUUAGAUUUUUUAGGGUGUCGUACCAUAAUUCAGGAAACCUAAGGACUGCCAGUAGGCGCAGUUGAAAGUUUAGUAUUUCAGACACCGAUUCGGGUAAGAAUCCCU
rnacentral:lncRNA from 1 species